CGCCUUUUGAAAUAUAAAUAUAAAAGGUACUGCCUGCCCAGUGACAUCUGUUCAACGGCCGCGGUAUUAUGACCGUGCAAAGGUAGCGUAAUCACUUGUCUUUUAAAUAAAGACCGGUAUGAAUGGCAAAACGAAAACUCAACUGUCUCCUCAGACAAGUCAGUGAAAUUGAUCUCCCCGUGAAGAAGCAGGGAUAAUAAUAUAAGACGAGAAGACCCUAUGGAGCUUUAAACCAAAACUAGCCAUAUUCUACUAACUUUUAAAAAUGGAAUUAGACAUGGGUUUUAGGUUGGGGCGACCGCGGGGUAAAAACAAACCCCCGAGAAAAGAAUUAAGAGGGACACUUCAAAAAUAAUAAUAUUAAUAUAUUUGACCCAAUAAUUGAUCAACGAACCAAGUUACCCUAGGGAUAACAGCGCAAUCCUCUCACAGAGUCCCUAUCGACGAGAGGGUUUACGACCUCGAUGUUGGAUCAGGACCCCCAAAUGGUGCAAAAGCUAUUAAAGGUUCGUUUGUUCAACGAUUAAUGUCCU
rnacentral:rRNA from 1 species